AGAACGAACGCUGGCGGCAUGCCUAAUACAUGCAAGUCGAACGAACUCUUCGGAGUUAGUGGCGCACGGGUGCGUAACGCGUGGGAAUCUGCCCCUUGGUUCGGAAUAACAGUUGGAAACGACUGCUAAUACCGGAUGAUGACGAAAGUCCAAAGAUUUAUCGCCAAGGGAUGAGCCCGCGUAGGAUUAGCUAGUUGGUGAGGUAAAGGCUCACCAAGGCAACGAUCCUUAGCUGGUCUGAGAGGA
rnacentral:rRNA from 1 species